CGAUUUUCUUCGAUCAUUUCACUUCGACGAGGUAACAGUUAAACAUUCACGAUUCGAGUUUUCCUCUACAUAGUGGUUAAAGACUUUGCAGAAACGUUUUAGGAGAGUUGGAAUGACUGCUUCUUCAUCUACACCACAAUGAGAGAAGCAGGACAGACAUGGUGUCGUUGACUCCCCUCUUGCAGCAGGCUGAACAACUGGUGGUGGAAAAUGUCCCACGGUGAUCCUGAAAUUGAUGGGCGUAUCAAAGUCUCAACUGGUGGCGAAGAAUUGCUUGCAGCACGUCUUGAUCCUGAAUUGCAGGUGCACACAGUUUAAAAAAUUUCCUGGUAAAACCUCGUUACAAGUCAAUGCGGCCCGUCGGUGAUGUCUUUACCACUGGCCAAGUUCUGUUGGAUGUAAGUUGAUGCUCCUAUGGAAGAGCUCUUUAUUUGAAUAGCCAGCUCCUUUUUUGUUAACACCACACGGCGGCAGUUGCGCAGUACCAUCUGCUGUCCAUAGAGUUCAAUUUGGCCCAUGUAUAAAUUGUAUAGGUUUAUUAUGUAUCACCGUACACUUCUACGUCGCUAAUUAUCAAUGCAAUAGAAAAUCUGCCGGAAUUAUU